UACAGAGGUGGCAAGCGUUGUUCGGAAUUACUGGGCGUAAAGAGCGCGCAGGCGGUCGUUCAAGUCGAGUGUGAAAGCCCCCGGCUCAACUGGGGAGGGUCACUCGAUACUGAUCGACUUGAAGGCAGGAGAGGGAAGCGGAAUUCCCGGUGUAGCGGUGAAAUGCGCAGAUAUCAGGAGGAACACCGGUGGCGAAGGCGGGUCUCUGGGCCGAUACUGACGCUGAGGAGCGAAAGCGUGGGGAGCGAACAGG
rnacentral:rRNA from 1 species